rnacentral:rRNA from 1 species
GAUGAACGCUGGCGGCGUGCCUAAUACAUGCAAGUCGAGCGAACGGACGAGAAGCUUGCUUCUCUGAUGUUAGCGGCGGACGGGUGAGUAACACGUGGAUAACCUACCUAUAAGACUGGGAUAACUUCGGGAAACCGGAGCUAAUACCGGAUGAUAUUUUGAACCGCAUGGUUCAAAAGUGAAAGACGGUCUUGCUGUCACUUAUAGAUGGAUCCGCGCUGCAUUAGCUAGUUGGUAAGGUAACGGCUUACCAAGGCAACGAUGCAUAGCCGACCUGAGAGGGUGAUCGGCCACACUGGAACGGAGACACGGUCCAGACUCCUACGGAAGGCAGCAGUAGGGAAUCUUCCGCAAUGGGCGAAAGCCUGACGGAGCAACGCCGCGUGAGUGAUGAAGGUCUUCGGAUCGUAAAACUCUGUUAUUAGGGAAGAACAUAUGUGUAAGUAACUGUGCACAUCUUGACGGUACCUAAUCAGAAAGCCACGGCUAACUACGUG